rnacentral:rRNA from 2 species
GGACGAACGCUGGCGGCGUGCCUAAUACAUGCAAGUCGAGCGGACAGAUGGGAGCUUGCUCCCUGAUGUUAGCGGCGGACGGGUGAGUAACACGUGGGUAACCUGCCUGUAAGACUGGGAUAACUCCGGGAAACCGGGGCUAAUACCGGAUGCUUGUUUGAACCGCAUGGUUCAGACAUAAAAGGUGGCUUCGGCUACCACUUACAGAUGGACCCGCGGCGCAUUAGCUAGUUGGUGAGGUAACGGCUCACCAAGGCGACGAUGCGUAGCCGACCUGAGAGGGUGAUCGGCCACACUGGGACUGAGACACGGCCCAGACUCCUACGGGAGGCAGCAGUAGGGAAUCUUCCGCAAUGGACGAAAGUCUGACGGAGCAACGCCGCGUGAGUGAUGAAGGUUUUCGGAUCGUAAAGCUCUGUUGUUAGGGAAGAACAAGUGCCGUUCAAAUAGGGCGGCACCUUGACGGUACCUAACCAGAAAGCCACGGCUAACUACGUGCCAGCAGCCGCGGUAAUACGUAGGUGGCAAGCGUUGUCCGGAAUUAUUGGGCGUAAAGGGCUCGCAGGCGGUUUCUUAAGUCUGAUGUGAAAGCCCCCGGCUCAACCGGGGAGGGUCAUUGGAAACUGGGGAACUUGAGUGCAGAAGAGGAGAGUGGAAUUCCACGUGUAGCGGUGAAAUGCGUAGAGAUGUGGAGGAACACCAGUGGCGAAGGCGACUCUC